GCAGGUAUAGCUCAAGUGGUAGAGUGAGAGCUUAGCAUUCACAAGGUCCUGGGUUCAAUCCCCAGUACCUCCU
rnacentral:tRNA from 1 species